UACAGAGGGUGCAAGCGUUGUUCGGAAUUACUGGGCGUAAAGCGCGUGUAGGCUGCAAUAUAAGUCGGAUGUGAAAGCCCUCGGCUCAACCGAGGAAGUGCAUCCGAUACUGUAUCGCUAGAGUGUCGGAGGGGAUGGCGGAAUUCCCGGUGUAGAGGUGAAAUUCGUAGAUAUCGGGAGGAACACCUGUGGCGAAGGCGGCGACCUGGGUAGAUACUGACGCUGAGGUGCGAAAGCGUGGGGAGCAAACAGG
rnacentral:rRNA from 1 species